GGGGAUGUAGCUCAGAUGGGAGAGCGCCGCCCUUGCACGGCGGAGGCCAGGGGUUCGAAUCCCCUCAUCUCCA
rnacentral:tRNA from 1 species